GUACUGCUGAUGAAUCACACCCGAGACCAGUGCAAAACAACAUCAGGCUAGCCUACAGUAUGUGAACACACACAAAUUGGAAUCAAGAACCAUUCCUUUUCUGACAAUCUACAACUUCCCCCCAUUACUAGUCACUGGACUCCAAAGUGUUCUUGGAAAACAUUCCUAUUUUUGUCUGGGUAACAGAGGUGGAACAGACAUCUACAACAAAGAUGGCUGCUGGUGAAGGACUCUUUUGUUCUCUGCAUGAGGCCGAAGGACAACCAGGUGGGAAUGAUGAUCCUCUAUGAUAAGGGCUUUCACAUCAAGAUGAGCACCCAGGAGACCAGCGUCCAUCACGAAGUCACCACCGAGAACCUCUGCAGGCAGGCAUUUGUUCUUAUCAUUUUCACAUUUUGCUGUGAUGGCACAGCCACACAUUUGUGCUGACUGUAUUCCUACACAGAUUACUUGUGUGCUGUGCCACAAAUGUCACAUCGACAUUGUAAUAAGAAUACAUUUUAUUUACUUGGAGCCCUUUACCAGCCAGCCAUCAAAGAAGAGAACACAUCCAAGCAAAAAAUGCAUAGACUGCAUUCGAACACACAAGAUAAUGGCAGAAUGACAUUACCUUCACACAGUCUCAGUUUCAGUCUUCAAUGGGGGAUAUGAGAUGUAUGAACUGCCCAUCUCUACAGUCAGAAGUGUGUGUUUGUGGCUUACAGGUUUAUCAAUUCUAUUAGCUACUAUAAUGCCAUUGGUUUAAGAACUACAGAGAUUUUUAUCACAAGCUUGUGGUAUGUACAAGUUUUGUGGUUGCAGUUUGUGAACACAACAUUCAACGUUGGCCCCUCCUACCCGGCUCAACGACACAAGAAGUGCAUGCCCAAUGCUAUGUAUAUACAGACGUGCCCAAAUUUGUUGGUACCCCUCCACAAAAAACGAAGAAUGCACAAUUUUCACUGAAAUAACUUGAAACUGACAAAAGUAAUUGGCAUCCACCAUUGUUUAUUCCACAUUUAAUAGAAAUCAGACUUUUCUUUUGAUUGUUUAUUCAACAUAAUAUUGUAAAUAAUAAAACAAAUGAAAAUGGCAUGGACAAAAA